rnacentral:misc_RNA from 1 species
GAUGAAGAACGUAGCGAAAUGCGAUAAGUAAUGUGAAUUGCAGAAUUCAGUGAAUCAUCGAAUCUUUGAACGCACAUUGCGCCCCUUGGUAUUCCGAGGGGCAUGCCUGUUCGAGCGUCAUUAUAACCCCUCAAGCUCAGCUUGAUGUUGGGGCCUGCUGCACUGGCAGCCCUUAAAAUCAGUGGCGGCGCCAUCUGGCUCUAAGCGUAGUAAUUCUUCUCGCUAUGGAGUCCUGGUGGAUGCUUGCCAUCAACCCCCAAUUUUUCUAUGGUUGACCUCGGAUCAGGUAGGGAUACCCGCUGAACUUAAGCAUAUCAAUAAGCGGAGGA